GAAGAUACUGAUCAGGAAGAAAAAGCCAGCAAUGAAGAUGUGACUAAAGCAGCUGACAUAACCACUCCAAAAGCUGCCAGGCGAGGAAGAAAGAGAAAGGCUGAAAAACAAGUAGACACUGAAGAGGCAGGAGUGGUGACUGCAGCGACCGCUUCCAAUGUGAAAGCAAGUCCUAAGAGAGGACGGCCUGCAGCUACUGAAGUCAAGAUUCCAAAACCAAGAGGCAGACCUAAAGUGGUAAAACAGCCCUGUCCGUCAGAAAGUGACAUGGUUAUUGAUGAAGACAAAAGUAAAAAAAAGGGGCCAGAGGAAAAACCACCCAAAAAGCAGCUUAAAAAGGAGGAAGAAGGCCAAAAGGAAGAAGAGAAGCCAAGAAAAGAACCAGAUAAGAAAGAGGGGAAGAAAGAAGUCGAAUCUAAACGGAAAAAUUUAGCUAAACCAGGGGUUACGUCAACCUCUGAUUCAGAAGAAGAUGAUGAUCAAGAAGGUGAAAAGAAGAGAAAGGGUGGAAGAAACUUCCAGGCUGCUCACAGGAGGAACAUGCUAAAAGGCCAACAUGAGAAAGAAGCUGCAGAUCGGAAACGCAAGCAGGAGGAACAAAUGGAGACUGAGCAGUAAGUAUUCUUUUUAGUUUUCAGUCUGCAUCCUUUUAAAGAGUAGUGGCCUUUAGCCUCUCACUUUCCAGAGUUGAUGAAGCCUUUUGAAGUGAAUUCCCAUAUUAAAAAACCUUACACACGUGCUAUUUCAUGCUCUAUUCACUUUUCAAGAGGAUGAAAUUCACUGAGGUAUCCUCUUGUGAACUGCUUUAUAAUAUAAAUGAAAGUACAAUUAGGUUUUGUGUAACAUGCUAAGCAGAAUUAUGAAAAUAUGCUGGUGGUGAAAGAGUGCAACCCCAGUUGGAAACCUGGAAGCCAGUGAGAGUAAACCCACGGCUGACAGGGCACCUUUGACACUCGGAUAUGUACAUUUACCACGAGGAUGUUCUUCCUCUUUCCUAUACAGUAAAUAGUUUAUCAGCAAGGAAUGGUCACUGCAGUGAUUAGACUUCAUGUCUCUUACACACUUGUUUUCCUAGUUUAUCACUGUCACUUUUUCUCAUUU
rnacentral:lncRNA from 1 species